UAGCAAAGAUAUAAAUAUGACGGUUGUGCCCAGCGGAGUUUCUCUCGCAACUGACUCUGCCCCUCUCCUCUGCAGACCAACAAUCCAAAGAACCGAUUUUGUUAGGAAGGGCAGAUUUUCGUCAACCAGAAUUUGAUCGAUUCGAUGAGCAAAACCUAAUUGCUUCCUAUCCUUUUUACUUAUCAUCUCUUUUCCCCCUAGUUCUCUAGGGGUUUCCUUUCCGUCGUUUCUAGUUUCUGUUGAAUUUACAAUUCUCUUGAGAUGGACGGAAACAAAGACGAGGCUUUGAAAUGUCUGAAAAUCGGGAAAGAAGCUUUCGAGCUUGGUGAUCGCAAUCGGGCACUGAAAUUUAUAACUAAAGCCCGUCGCCUUGAUCCGACUCUCCCUGUGAAUGAUCUGUUAGCGAAGCUGGGUGGAGAAUCUGGUGAACCCCAAGUUUCGGAUUCAUCGACGCCAAGCGGUGGUACCCGUGACGAAGGAUCCUCACCGGGCGCGUCUUCUGUUAGGCAAAGGGUGCCAGCAAAUGGGUCUUCUUCGCCAUCUUCUAGGUCGUACACUGAAGAGCAGAUCACGAUUGUUAGGCAGAUUAGGAAGCAGAAGGAUUGCUACCAGAUUUUGGGGUUAGAGAGAAGUUGUUCAGUCGAGGACGUUAGGAAGGCAUAUCGAAAACUGUCUCUGAAGGUUCACCCUGAUAAGAACAAGGCUCCUGGUGCUGAGGAGGCUUUUAAGGCCGUUUCUAAAGCAUUUCAGUGCCUCAGUAAUGAGGAGAGCAGGAAAAGGUAUGAUCUUGUUGGGACAGAAGAGGCUCUGUACGAAAGACCCACGACGAGGGGUGGUACACAAGGUUUCAAUGGCUUCUAUGAAGCUGACAUUGAUGCAGAGGAGAUUUUCAGGAAUUUCUUCUUCGGGGGAAUGCCUGGAACAACGACUCAGUACCGAGGGUUUACUUUUGGGACUGGCAUGGGACCAAGUGUAUGGACAGGGGACGAUGGGUCUGGCAAUUUUAAUAUCCGAAUGCUUAUUCAAUUACUUCCAGUUUUUCUUGUGCUGCUUUUGAACUUCUUACCAUCCUCAGGACCCAUUUAUGCUCUUUCUAAGUCUUACCCUUAUGAGCACAGAUUUGUCACUCAAAAGGGCGUCAGUUAUUAUGUUAAAACUGCAAAGUUUGAGCAACAAUAUCCUGUUGAUAGCUCAGAACGCUUGGAAAUUGAGGAACGUGUUGAGAGAGACUACCAUUCGAUUAUUGCACGAAAUUGUCAAGUUGAGUUGCAGAGACGCCAGUGGGGCCUUACACAUGAAACGCCAUACUGUGACAUUUUAAAACAGUUUGAGGCAAUGGCUUGACAGAAUCAAGGUCUUGUCCCUAUGCUUAGACCUUUGCCUGUCGUGUUACCAUAUACUUCUGUGAAAAGGUCCAAGUGCAAUUUCUUAUCUCUUUGAUUGUCGAAGCAAUAUCAAACAUAAUUUCUUACUUACCCCUGCAAGAAAUGUGGAAUUGGCUCCAGCAAAAUGAAGAAUAUUGUGACUAGUUUUGGUUCCCCUCUCUGUUCUGAAAUCUGGUUCUGUUCUGUUUCCAUAUACACCUUUCAUCCAUAUUGCAGCAAAAUCUUUGCCUGUCUAUGAGAAGAUACUUUGAUGGAAUCAAUUGUGUAAUCUUAUUUUGCAAUUUUAGGUGACCAUGAAUUUGUCCAUCUGAACUUGGAUCCCCCUAUUUUGUAGUCACUCUUCCCAAAUCCCAACUAAGUAUCAUGGUUUUGAGCAAUCCUUUACUUGAUCAUAUGUUUUCUCAUAUAUAAAUGUUCAAUAUUAUCAUUUGGUAAGCGAUCAAUCCACCGAUAUUCCAGCUUCAGCUCUCAUAUAGGCCCAGUCCUGAGCCAUGUUUGAAUAGGGUGCAACUCCUGGUGGGAAGUGGGAACAGGAGUGAUUUGCACAAGCCUCCAGGAUUAUGAGUAGAGGAGUAUGGUUACUGUUGGGUGCUUUGCAGCGGCAUAAAUUGACCCAAUCAAAAGAUAAAGAGUGUGCAGUUUGUCUCUACCCUUUAUGAAAGUUUUCAAGAUCAGUUUACAAGGGAAAAGUUAUCUAAGAUUGAAAUUGUCAUAAUGAUUCCUCUGCAUUUGUGUUUUAAUUUUAUGCUCUGUUUGUUUGCAAUGCAGUUCCAUUGCACUAAUACGAAUGAGAAAAAUGCAAGGGUCUACUUUUA